UGAGGUGAUGUGAGGGAGGUUAGUGUGUGUGUGUGUGUGGGGCUGGGGCGGGUGGUGGCAGGUGGCAUGAUGUGGAGGCUGGAGAGCUGGUGGGCACAGGGAGUGCCCUGCUUGUCCUUUGCUUUGCAGAGCCAUUGGCUGUGUGGGACACGGUGGCUGGCCUGCUUGGAGAAGCACUUGUGGUGCCAAGGGCACGCCCGUUGUGAGGCUGGGCUCCUUUGAGAGCAUGCCCAGCGGGAUGGGUGUUGGAGACAGGAGGGUUGAUGCAGUUGCCCGUGCUUGCUCCGGUUGCCCGUUUUGCUGGUGCCUGGUGUGAGGGCUGAAGGAAGAAGGGGUUGGCAGCUGGAGAGCCAUUGGCUGUGUGGGACACGGUGGCUGGCCUGCUUGGAGAGGCACUUGUGGUGCCAAGGUACGUUCCUCUUCCUCUCCUCCUCUUCUUCCUGCUCUCUUUCUCUUCCUCCCCUACUGCAUGCCCAGCACGCGCAGCAGAUUGAUGCUGACUGUCUUGGUCAGUGUGGUAGCAGAGGAGGUCCUCUGUCUUUUGUCCUUGUUCAUUGCCUCCACCUUCUUGUUCUGGGCUGUCCUGUUUCUUCUGCGCUGCCCUCUAAAGGGUUGGUUCUUUGUUUUUCUAUUGCUGUUUGUCAUGGUGGAGUGAGCGUGGUGGUGUUGGGGAGGAGAGGGUGGGCAUAGGUGGUUAGAGUGCGAGCGUGGGAAGGAGCGAGUGGAAGAUGGGGACGAAAGAG